UGAGAAAGGAGGUGAAUACGUUUGUACCGGAUGUGACGUGUAGAGAUGCUUGUUUUUUUACUUUUUUGAGAAAGAUACUCUCGAACUCGGACGCUUGGGCGUUACGGUGUCGCAAGUGUGGUCGCCAUAUUACUUUUUUUUUUUUUCAUUUACGAAGGUCGUAAUGGCCCUUACGGCCUGAAUCUGACGCAGUUGGGUCGAUGUGGUAUGCAUUGACAACACUUGUGUAGGCGUACGAUUGGCAAGUGAUAGUUGCUUUUCGUUCGUGUUUCUUCUCACGUGUGAAAGCGGCGUAGAAGUCAAAACAGUCGUCGUCAACCGGCGCUACGUAGAAGCAGGUUAUUAGCGGCUCAUGCAUGCAGUUAUCGCAGCAAGAUAACAGCAAAUGUGGAGAGUGCUCUUCAUCUCUGACAUCCUGAAGCCUCAAUUGGUCUGCUACAGAAAUGCUUUGCCAUCACUUCUACCAUUGUGCAAACUCAUCACAAGUGCCAUGUCUUCAUCAUAGAGAAGGCCCUUCUGACCUGAUUGCUAGCUAUAGGAGGAGUUUCUGUAUCCUGUUCAUUACUGUUUCAAAUGGAGUUAUCCUGAGUCCUCUGGGUCCAGUACAGUGCAUACAUCUUGAGUUGUCCUAUGCCAAGUUUCCUUCUUACCAAUUUCAGAUCUGAUUUUACAGCCCGGGCCCACUUCAGGAAGCCCAGGGACUGCAUGUGCAUGACCAGACCCAUCCCGGACAUGGUGGAGGGAACCGAAGAGAAGGCAAUCAUUGGCGAGAAUACGAUGCGUGCGUCGGCCAUGGAUAGCGGCGAUGCGAACUUUUGGGAAUGUUCAUCGAGACAGUUGCGUCUGGCUAGGUCGCAGUAGUGGCAUACAAUCGGUUUAGGAUUCUCGGUCGUCUCCAUGUCGGAAACUUCCGGUUCCCGAAGGUCGCCGUACGUUUCGAGACCAGUGCUUGGAUCGCAAAGCUGCCCGGGACACUCGAGAGAGGGCAAAACUGCCAUCGAUUACACCAAGGUUGCCAUCGAGGUGAGUCACUUGGCCCCGACAACCUACAAUACCUACAGGACGGAAAAGAAGCGAAGGUCGAGUACAACAUUGGUAAAGAGCCUGAAGACAAAAAAAUUGUCAACGGUGCCAUUUGACACUCGGCAGCCGUAUCUUGCAUCGCUCCCAGGUUUCACCGUGGAAUACGUAUGAAUCUUGGAGACAAGUUUGCAUAAGGUCAGCCACACUUGCACAUUUCAUCAGGUGAAGUGUGCAGAAGAGUUUGAAACCUUUUUCACUACGUAUUUUUUUAAUUUGUGUUCAAUAAAGAUGUAUUUUGCUGGA